rnacentral:rRNA from 1 species
CACGUAGGGCGCGAGCGUUGUCCGGAAUUAUUGGGCGUAAAGAGCUCGUAGGCGGCCUGUUGCGUCGGCUGUGAAAUCCCGAGGCUCAACCUCGGGUCUGCAGUCGAUACGAGCAAACUAGAGUGUUGCAGGGGAGACUGGAAUUCCUGGUGUAGCGGUGAAAAUGCGCAGAUAUCAGGAGGAACACCGGUGGCGAAGGCGGGUCUCUGGGCAACAACUGACGCUGAGGAGCGAAAGCGUGGGGAGCGAACAGG